UACGUAGGAGGCGAGCGUUGUCCGGAGUUACUGGGCGUAAAGGGUGCGCAGGCGGCGUCACGCGUGGCUAGAUGAAAUCUCCUGGCUUACCUGGGAGGGUGGUAGCCAGACGGUGGCGCUUGAGGGUCGGAGAGGGGCGUGGAAUUCCGGGUGGAGCGGUGAAAUGCGUAGAGAUCCGGAGGAACACCGACGGCGUAGGCAGCGCCCUUGACGACACCUGACGCUGAGGCACGAAAGCUGGGGGAGCGAACAGG
rnacentral:rRNA from 1 species